GGUUGCUGUCUCAUGCAUUAAGAGCUUAAAACUGCAUAUAAUCCUAGAUUCCAGCCUAGUUCUUUCCCAGGAGUUAAUUCUUGGAGAAUGUUUCAGCAGGAGACCUUUAAGAACAGCUUCUGAUGGAGCUGGUUUGUGGACACUCUGGCGAGAUGGCUUUGAAAGGACCAUUCGUGACAAGGUCCACCAUCCAGGCCUCAUUCAUCCUUCCUCUGUGUUAUGGGAUGGGAUACGCUUCUGCUUGCAGAUAAGGGAAGUGUCUCCUCUAUUGAAUGUGGAUUGUGGAAUAUUCAGAGGUUUUUCUUCUUAUUUUUCAUAGACCUGGAAGAGCGAAGGUUUUUUUGCAUUGUACAAAGGAUUCUGGCCAAACUGGUUAAGGCUUGGGCCUUGGAAUAUAAUUUUCUUUGUGAUGUAUGAACAGCUGAAGAAAUUGGAUUUCUGACAGCCUGAAAAAUUGAAGAGGCCAUGUCUUCCAUUGGUAUAGCACCUCAAGUGCUCUUUCAGAUAUCCAAGUUUGCAGAAUUGGACAAAUUAAAUUGUUGUUGCAAAGAACGUUGAAGUGCUCAAGCAUUACAGAACAGAGUAUAACUUGAGACUGAAACAGUCCUUAGAAUUGGUUCUGAAUUUCAACUUUCAUAACUAUUACGAACAUUUCAGUGUUGACAUGUCUGAAUGGGAGCAAGUGAACUUAAUAAUUAGGUGCAGGGUUUCUUUCAGUCUUCGUUCUCUUAAAAAUAAGCUCUUUCCAACAGCCAAUAAUUCAUGUGUUCACAACCUCAAGAAUCUGUAUUUUACACCAAAGACUAGACUGUGACUAAAGCUUAUUUUAUGAAGCAUCCUAUUGUAUGGAACAGCGUCGCAUAAAUAAUGUGCCAAACAUUAUUUGCAAAACAGCGUUGAACGUCCUUUUUUUCUUGAAACACCUCAGUGGCAUUUCUUCUUUUUUAAAAAAGCAUUACAUUAAUGCUGAAUUAAAUUCAUUACUGUUAGGUUUCAGCACUGUCUUAAAAUAUUUUGCCCUAUCUGAUGAUUUGAGUAGACCUAAUCUCAUAUAGUUUUUAUUUUAAAAAGAUUCCAUUGUGGGCAAUAGACGAACUCUUUGCAUAAACAUUGUUUCAUAAUGCUUUCUGAGAAAGUAUUAAAUGGCUGCCCUUCUCAAGGUUUGGGACAAUAAUAAUAUCAAUCGUUACAAGCGAUGUUGAGGUUGUGAAGGCCCAUUCAUAUAUGGCAAGUUAUGGAAGACAUCUUGUAUGCCUGCCUGAACAGACCUGAUUUUUCUUCCAUUUUCCUGGAUUGCGUCCAGAGAAACCAGCAACACCUUAAGCACAGACAAUUGUUUGUGUUAAGAAGAGAGCACAGAGUCUUCACUUCCCAGAGACUGCCGCCUUGUCUUUCUCCCCCAAAAUAUUUAGAAAUAAAAUUGCCACAGGUGUGGGCCUACGUGGGACCACCGUUUGGGAAAAGCUGCUGCCCGUAUCAGUUUCACCACAUGGAAUUGUUUCAACCAAAUAGGAAUUUUAUGUAUGUUUUAAGUUCUGCAUAAAAGUGAUUUUCAUACAGGAUCGUAAAGUUUGAGUCGGAGGUGAUCAUUCGAGAUCACUCCGUUUUGCUCCAAGAGACCUUUCAUCAGGAGAAGUUGGAUAGACAGCUUGAGAUGUCAGACUAGGCCAAUGUGGUCUCCUUUUGGAAACAGCUUCAUUGAAAUCUGUACACUGACUAGGUCAAACUUACUGAAAACGAAGGUUAACAAUGUGUUUUGUUAUGUUUUUAAAUUCUGAGAGUAUCUUUGUAGAAUAUGAAUAUAAUGAUAGUUUGUAAGUCGUAGACACAAAGCUUUAAGUAUUUAUAUGGAAGUGGUUGAAAUAGUUUGUAAAUUUCAGCAAGACACAAGUUUAAGGCAUGUUGGUUUUCUAUGCAAUUUCGAAGGCGCACAAGGCAAAAAUGACAAAAUUGACAAAAAUGUCUUCCAUGAUAGGAUUUUAAAGGUUAAAAUGACAGCUUUGGGUCGCUUUUAUUAGGAGUAUGUGUACAAACGGGUACAAUAAUUUUGUUUGAAUUGCAAAACAAGUCGAGGUUUAAUCCAUGAUGAUGGUCCAUGGAUUUUGAAUUCUAAGAUUCAGAUUUUACAGGGUUGAAAUGGUUUUUUGUAAAUUGUUCUGCAGUACAUAUUGAGGCAAAACUAGACAUUGUUUUUUUUAAAUUAGAAUCUACAUCGGAAUUUAUAUUCCAUCUUCACAGGCACAAACAGCUUGAAUGGAGUUGCAGGUGCACCUGUACUUCCUUUUUCUUUUACCAGCAAAGAGAAAUGUCACAUUUUUAUUAAUAAUAGAUAUACAGUAGAUGCCUGGUGCAAGGCAUAUAUGUUACUUAGCCUCCUUCCCUAGCAAACUUCCUUGAUGGCAGCUUGGUUCUUCCAUACCAAAAUAUAAUCUGUAUUUUU